rnacentral:rRNA from 1 species
AUGAGGCGGCGUUGGCAAGCUCUCUCCCUCUGUCUUGUCAUCCUGCUCUUCAUCCUUGUCUCGUCCAGCGCUUCCACUCUACAAGACACGUGCAAGACCGUCGCCGUAAAUAACAAGGACAUCGGCUAUGACUAUUGCAUCAAGUUUUUCCAGGCCAACAAUGCCAGCGCCACCGCCGACAAGCGCGGCCUCGGCGACAUCGCCACCAAGAUUAGCCGCGCAGCAGCCUUGGACAUCCGCAAGCGCAUCGACACCCUCAUGGCUUCGGAGAAGGACAAGACGGUCCAUGGGCGCCUCUCCGACUGCCGCGUGCUGUACUCAGCCGCGGUCAACAUGCUCGAGUCGGCGGCAAACCUCAAUGCCGUGAUAUCGGGCACCGACACCUGUGAGCAAGGGUUCCGCGUGCUAGGCGUUACUUCACCACUAGCCGCCGAUGACGCCAACUUCAUUAAGGACUGCUCCAUUGCUCUUAUUAUCACGAGCUCGUUGUUGUAA